UACAAUGACGAUAAGAACACCUAUAUUCGUUACGAACUUGACUAUAUCUUGUAACUUUGUGUCUAAUACAGCUGUUUCACACCUUAAACCUGCUUCAAUCUGAUGAUAUAAACUUGUAAAACAUUGCCGAUCAGUGUAGAGCUGGUCAUAGUGGAGGGAUAGAAAUCCAGUAGCAUGAUUUUUAAAUAACUUUUGUUUUUUUGAUGUUAAACAGUAAAUGGCAGUAGUGACCAAGGACAGUGCUUAUACACACUAUACUGGAGGGAUAUCAUUUUUUAUUCAUCUUUAUGAAGAUUUAGAAUUCAUUCCUUGUGUUUAAAGGGAAUGUUUAAUUGAGAAAUAAACAUUCGUGUACAAAAUGCUAAUUUGUGUGUGUUUUUUGAAUAUGACUUGUAAAAUGCAAAACUUUGGUAAAGUACUGGUUUGUGUAGAAUAAGUGGAUUAAUUUCAUCUUUUGUCACCUAGUUUAUUAUGGAACACAGCAGCACGCAAACUAUAUAGUGAUGGCCUGUUUGUCAAAAGCCCAUUGUUUUGUUGGUAAUGAAGAGUAGCUUGGGGUGCCCCUCCCCUCAGUGUAGCAUAACAGUUCCAGCACCAUAGAAAAGUAGCACUCUGACUGAGCUGUCUUAAGUAUUAUUUUGUACUUACAUAGCACCUUUCACCUUGAUUUCUCAAAAUGCUUUAUGAGCAGACAUGAAGGAUAUAUUUUACUUCUUGUCCAACUUUGGCCUGUGCUUAUAAAGUGGAGAAGCUGUCUGUAACUUAGAAUAGUGUAUUUCCUGUUGGGAGUGAGGCUAUCUAAGAAAUAAUUAUAUAGUAGGACAGUCUUUGGGCUUUUGUGUGAUGCCUCUAAUCAGUUUAUUUAUAAGCAGCUAUUGAACACCUGUUGAAUGCUAGCCACUGUCUGUUGAAGAAGGGGCUUCGAAGGUGCACAUGAUCCGGCCUUUCAUGUAACGGAAGGGUGGGCGCAGAUCCUUAGGUACCAGGGUGCUGUGCAAUGGAAGAUGCAGAGAUGCCUAGAUUUGCUUAGCUUGUAUGUAGCAGUCAGAUACUGUAUUGGCUUAAGUGUGAGCAUAAGCCAAAAUGCCGUUCAGUUUAUGAAGAACAAGCAUUAAGGGGCUAUUUUAAUGUUUUGGGUCAACUAAUGAAUCAGCUUUUUUUUGUUGUUGUUUAUUGUUUUUUAAUUUUAUGCCCCAAAUUUCUUGUUUUUAAAACUUUUCUAGCCAUCACUGUUUUGUCUCCCUCUGUACUUGUGUGGACUCUAAAAGGAAAUAAAUUCUGCCAUCAGUGUGACUGGCAUGUGACUCUACCACCCUCAGACUGUCAGGAGUGCUAGGCAGCUUGUGCUUCUGACUGUUAACAAGGAAGACUCUGGUGGAAGAUCAGAUUAGAUUAGAGACAGCUUCUGCUCUGCUUUCUCAGAAUGGAUACUGAGCAUUAACCGUCCCCAUGCAGGACGCACGGAUUCUUGUUCUUUGUAUGUGGUCUGACUAUCAUUGUGUAGUAAACCAUUUCCCUGUUCUUAGAAAAUUCCUAGCCAUACCUAAGCACUUUUAAAUGUUUUGUAUAGUUGAUUUCAAAUAACCCUUGGUAAUUACAAUCUUGAAUUGAGUAUAUUUCUCAAAGUUAAAAUUUGACUUUAAACCACUUGGGAACAUUUUAUUGUAUUAUUAAUUAAAAUACUUAAGUUUGUUUAACUUCUUGCUUUUUAUUUAAAAAUUAAAUUUUGCAGUAGAACUACAGCUCACAGGAGACUGCUUACCCCUUAAGUGACAUUUUCCUGAUGGAGGUAAUCUGAGAAUGGAUAAGGGGAAAAAAUGCUGAAGGCUGCAAUCUCAAGAUUAGGACCAAAAUAGAUACUCAAAGAUGUUUGGAUUGUGAAAUGCUCUUAUUGAAUAAGGAAAGCAUUUUGGGAUAAACCCUUGUGAAAGAUGCUAUGUCACGUUUUAACACUUCUCAACUAAGACCUUUUCUUUAGCACUUUGAUGUUUCUUAAGGUGAAACUUAGGCAGGAGGAAUUCAUGUUCUUAAGGGGACAGAGGGGUGGGUUUUUCUCUGGGCUUUGGUUUUUUUUUUCUCUGGGCAUUGCCCUCUGAUGGAAUUGAUAUUUCUUUGGCUGUUUGAUUUUAUUUUUUUUUAUAUUGUAUUUUUAAUAUUUGUUGUAUGGUGCCCUGUGAGCAUCAAGUACCACCAGAUAAAUAAAACUUAUCACAUCUAAAGUCAUAGU
rnacentral:lncRNA from 1 species